UAUUUUCUUAAUUUCCUUUAUGUUUUUUUCUUACCGUUUCCUAGUUUAGUUUUUUUAAUAUAUUUUUAGUCUAUUUAUAGUUUAUUUUUAACAAUUGCAUGUGCUUGACGAGUCAUUUGUGUAGUUUUUCCCAUUUCUUGAGUCAUAACAAAAAAUUUAAUAAAGAAAACGGCGUUUACUUUGAAAAUUUGGGUUGUUAGACAAGUUU
rnacentral:lncRNA from 1 species